ACAUGUUGGAGGGGGGAGGGGGUGGGGGGGGCUAGCCCCUCCUUACUGCUGUAAAAGCAGGAGGAAAAAAAAGGAGAAAGAAAAAAAAGAGAGGAAGAAAGGAAAUCGCAGCCAUACGGGCUGUGCUCCCCCAGCUGAACUGUAACUACAUUUUAACGGUGAGAGAAAAGGGGCUAUAUGGUGAUGUGCUCCUCCCUCUACCCUGCCAACCUCAUCUGUCAGCCAUUAGUUAAUCAGGGCUGGUAACACAGAGCACAGAGAGCUGGCACAACGCGUGGGACCAGGGGACAGCUUCACCUCUGAGAGCAAGAAGAGGGCAAGGACUCAGGGACCUCUGCUUCACCGAUCUACAGCUGGGCUGCUUCACUCACUAGCACCCACUCAGAUUACUUCCAACAGGAUAAUCAGACUGAUAUUCGAUACUCUUUGUGAGCACCUAUGUCUUUGUCUAGGACUGGCAGGCAGCAACCUCAAGAUGACCCCACCCACUGCUUUACUGUGAACAGGGUGGUUUCAAAGACAGAAGUCAAAACAACACAUGUUGUCAACAUGGGAACAGCUGAUCUUGACAGACUGUCAGCUGCAGGGACUGAACUGAACGUACUUCUGAUUGGCUAAAACUAAACAGCAUAUCCCGCACUCCAUGCCAAAGUAUGACUUUGCCAUCUCCGAAGAGUUAAAUAAACACUGGGUUGAAUAAGCAUAUACAAUUUCUUUGACACAGUUUCCUUUUUAAGUCAACACCACUAAGAAAGGAUACACCAAGCAACCAUAAGUCAAAGUGAAAUGACAAAACAACUGAGUUUUUCCGUUUGUCUAAACAUUCCUUUGAGAGCUUUUUCCAUUACCAUGUUGAAACAUUCGAUUGUACUCAGAUGAAUACUACACUGCAGAUGGACAAAAAAAUGAGGAGUGACCAUAUAAAAGAUGAGAAUCAAAUCAAAAUCAUGAAAGUUCAAAGUCUUGAUGACAAAUGAUGAAAAAUACAAACAGCAGACCGGGUGUAAAGUUAUAAAAUAGUGACCUUUGACACAGUACAUCCAAGUCUAACUCCCUCUUCCUGCUAAAUGUUAUGCAGCUGCUUUUCUAAUCUGUCCUAGCAACCAGUUUGCCACAGCUUGCAAACAGGGUAUGGAAAAACUCAGAGAAAUGGAAGAAAAAAAGGGGGGUUUAAAGAGUUUUGGUAUAUAAAUUGUAGUGUUUGCUAAAAUUGCAAUUACUUUUUAUACCUUACAAGCUCAACGCCUUCUUCUACUGGAUUUCUUUUUGAAGCUCUGCUGACCCUGUGCCUGCUCUCUGCCAAUUCCAUGGGUGGUAGCAAGUUUUAGCUAAGGAAAUAUGCCUCUAUCAGAGGAAAAAUCUAUCCAUAAGAAAUCAAUAAUUGUAAUAUUACCUGCUAUGAGACUGCAUCAGUAGACCCAAUGCAGAAGGCACUUAUGGGAAACACAGUGCCUCCUUGUGUGCAUAACUACUCAAGGGGGGAUUUUUCCUUUGAAUGUUGUUGUCUUUUAGUAGCAAGUGGAGAAAGGACUGAAGUAACAAUUUUGAUGAAUAGUGCAUCAGGCUCUGACUUACACACUGGAAUUUCCUCACAUCUGUGGACCAGUGGCUCUGCUAGCACAGACAAUGAACAAGUAGAAACAGACCUGACAGGUAGCCAUGUGAAGAGUGAUGCACACUCAGUUGAAUAAUACAAGUACAGUAAAAUCUCUUAUCAUCUACAGUGUAGCUGUAGCCAAUCUAUCACUGUCUCUCUCAUAAGAAGAAAAAGCUCUUUGAAAGAGAUGUCGCGUCCCACAAACACCAUUUCACUCCAUCAACUUGAAAAGCCCGAAUAGGACCAGGCCCUUUCAAGUCUGAAAUGGCAGCCUCAUGUGAGAAGAAUAUAUGUUUCAGCAGAGUCUUAACAAGUGUCUCCUAGAGGCUUAAAACUACUUCAUAAUGCUUGACCAACAAGUUGAGGAAAAGCAGACGCUCUCUACCUGUGUCAAAGUGAGGCCAUGUUCCCUAUCAUUCGAUGGGCUUGGGGUAGACCAGCCUAAAUGCUUCCAGACUUUCACGCCCUGUCUCCUCUCAUUUCAUCUCACUGCAUCUGCUCCCAGCUCAGAUCACCCACAAAAAUCAAUCCUCUCUUAAUGUCUUCCAAUGCCCUGAACAACCUCAUUGUGGUUCAGAGUCAAGUCUUAUUUCUUCAGAUGGGGCUUUGCUCCUACAGGGACAGCAUUAAUGUCAUCAUUUAACUGCUCUAUAAGCUAUAGAGAACUGUGAGGAAAUUUAUGCAAGUGCUGGCAAAUAAAAUCUAUAUUACAGUGUGCAGCACGUUCAACUUUUCUUCUUGUCAUCAAACUGCUUGACCUUUAAGAGACUUCCAUCCCUGAUGUGAAAGCCAUGCUGUGAUCCAAAAUCCAAAUAUUUUGAAUAUUCAGAUAACAUCUCACAGCAUCUGGUUUUCUGCCUCCAAAGUCUUAAUGGUUUGCCAAAAUCUGUAGGCCAUAGUGCUUGACUUUUAACUAGCAAAUCAUCAACUGAACUAUUUUGCUCUCUCUCAAAGGCUGAAAUGAAACAUUAUCUCCCUGACUCAGAUUUAAAUUACAGCCAUGACAAGAACCAUACUAGGGAGGACCAGAGAGGCAACAGGGGGGGAAACAGCCCUUCCAGCCACCGCUUCAAUUGCUCACACUCGACUGGCAUAUGGGCAGCAUCAGGAAACACAAGCUCAAUGAUGUCAUGACCAAGUGACCCCAGGGGUGACAGGUUUGGAGAAUGUUCUUGCACAGUGCCCUCAGGCUAAAGUCAAGUAUGUCAAUGUAGUGCAUGUGGAUUUCAUCUGAAGCAGCAUGAUUAGUUCACAGACGCACAACUACGAUCCCCCUCCAUGGGAAACCCGCUCUUGACAGGAAACAGUAUGUUUUUGUUAGCAACAAACAGGCAUAAAUUACUAAAAUGGUGCCUUGGUUGCCAAUUCAUCACACACAGCCUUAUUGUUGUUCUUUGCACACAUUUGACAUCAACAUUGCUUUUACGGUAAUUACCAUUAGUUAAUGAUAUUUACAUUCUUGAUAGUUUAUGUUAAACUGUGUCUGUUAUUCUAAUUUUGUGCAAUAAAUGUGAUAAUUGUUUUGUGUCUUUUCUUUUUUAUAAGGUGAAUGUUUUUUGAUGACCUGUAUAUUGCAGCUCUAACAAUCAGACAAUCAAUUAUUUAGAGUUUCUAAAGCUAGAUUCAAAAUGAUCAAGAGUCCAGGAAGAAAAACAGGCAGGUUAU